UAGACCAGCAGGUCCCUGAUCCCAUCCUACGGUUAUUUCCCCAGUUCCAGAUGCAUCGUUGGUAUAGCCAUCCAGGCAUACCUUGAAGAUAUUGCAGGUUUGGAUCCACACCACCACAAUAAAGCAAAUAUUGCAAUAAAUUCACAGCAUCUUCACCAGAAGUAGAUUUCAUCUCAAGAAACCACUUUAUUUGCUCAUCCAUAAGAAACAACUCAUCAUCCAUUGAAGUUUAAUCAUGAGAUUGCAGCAAUUCAGUCCCAUCUUCAGGCUUCACUUCUAAUUCUAGUUCUCUUACUAUUUCCAUCACAUCUGCUGUUACUUCCUCCACUAAGUCUUGAACCCCUCAUAGUCAUUCAUAAGGGCUGAAAUCAAGUUCUUCUCCACUCCUGUUAAUGUUGAUAUUUUGACCUCCUCCUGUAAAUCACAAACGUUCUUAUUUUUGUUUGUUCUUUGGGUUUUGCGUGUGUGUGUGUGUGUUUUGUUUGUUUGUUUGUUUGUUUUUGAGAUGAAGUCUCACUCUGUCACUCAGGCUGGAGUGCAGUGGUGUGAUCUCAGCUCACUGCAGCCUCCGCCUCCCGGGUUCAAGCGAUUCUCCUGCCUCAGCCUCCCGAGAAGCUGGGACUAUGGGUGUGCACCACCAUGCCCUGCUAAUUUUUGUAUUUUUAGUGAAGACAGGAUUUCAUCAUGAUAGCCUGGCUGGUCUUUAACUCCUGACCUCCUCUUGGGAGGCCUUGGCCUCCCAAAGUGUUGGAAUUACAGGUGCAAGCCACUGUACCUGGCCACAAAUGUUCUUAAUGGCAUUUAGAAGGUGAAUCCUUCCUGGAAGGUUUUCUGUUCACUUUGCCUGGAUACGUCAAAGGAAUCACUAUCUAUGGCAGUGAUAGCCUUAUUAAAUGUAUAACUUAAAUAAUAAGAUUUGAAAGUUGAAAGUCAAAAUUACUCCCUCAUCUAUGGGCUGCAGAAUGGAUCCUGUUACUAGGUAUGAAAACAACAUUAAUCUUAUUGUACAUAUCAGAACUCUUGUGUGACCAGGUGCAUUUUCAAUGAGCAGUAAUAUUUUGAAAGAAUUCUUGUUUCUGAGCAGUAGGUCCCAACAGCGGGUUUGAAAUAUCCAGUGAACCAUCCUGUGAACAGACGUAUUAUUAUCAGGCUUUGUCUCAUUUAUAGAGCAGGGGCAGGGUAGAUUUAGCAUAACUCUUAAGAGCCCUAGGAUUUUCAAAAUGGUAAGUAAGCACUGGCUUCAGGUUAAACACCAGCUGUAUUAACCCCUAACAAGAGAGUCAGCCUAUCCUUUGAAGCUCUGAAAGCAGGCAUCAACUUCUCUUUAGCUAUGAGAGUGCUAGAGAGGAGAAAUCAAUGACUGGCUUCAAAGCUUCAAAGGAUGGCAUCUUCUUCCAAUAGAAGGCUAUUCAGCUACAUUGAAAAUGUGGUGUUUAGUGUAGGCACCUAUCAUCAAUGAUCUUAGCUAGGUCGUUUGGAUACCUUGCAGCAUCUACAUCAUCACUUGCUGUUUCACCUUGCUCUUUUGUUAUGGAGAUGGUUUCUUUCCUUAAAAUUUCAUGAACCAACGUCUGCUGGCUUUGAACUUUUCUUCUGCACUUCUUUACCUCUCUCAGCCUUCAUAGAAUUGAAGGGAGUUAGGGCUUUGAUCUGGAUUAGGAUUUGAUUUAAGGGAAUAUUGUGGCUAGUUUGGUCUUCAAUCCAGACCACUCACACUCAAACUUUCUCCAUCUUAGCAAUAAGGCUGUCUUGCUUCAUAUUCAUGUGUUGAUUAGAGUAGCACUUUUAAUUUUCUUCAAAAAUGUUUCCUUUGUGCUGGGCAUGGUGGCUCACGCCUAUAAUCCCAACACUUUGGGAGGCCGAGGCGGGCAGAUAAAGAGGUCAGGAGAUCAAGAGGUCAGAAGAUCAAGACCAUCCUAGCUGACACGGUGAAACCUCGUC
rnacentral:lncRNA from 10 species